AUUUUAUUUCAAACAAGUAGGCACACAUUGUUUUACCCAUGAAUUGCAAUUGAAGCACAGUAUUAAUCUGAAACCUGCAACAUUUCUGAAAGGUGCUCAUAAGUUAGCAGUGCUGUAGAACAGAAACAAGACCUUACAGCCAACUGUGCUCGCAGGAUGCUAAUGUGAGGUAUUCUAGCACAGCCUUACUUUACCAGGAGUAUUUUUAGUGUGUGUGGCUAAUUAGUUAGUGUAGCCCGGGCCUGGAGGUGGGCUUUAUCCUGUCCAGAUUUACAGAAGCGUAUCACAGUGUUGCUAAUCUUAUUAAGAGCAGCCAUGACAGAUGCACUGAUUCAGUCUAAUGCUACCUGCGAGAGCACCGAUCAGAGAAUCGCUGGCCAUUCAUAUCGUUGGGCUUCACUUAUCAGACACCAUGGACAACACCUGCCCAUCAACAGCAAGCUGCAUGACACCUGGGCUCUUCUUCAGAACCUGCUGAUGUGUAUGGUGUGCUUCUACUCGCUCUACUAUAUUGUGGUCAGUCUCUGCAUCGGCAUUCUCAGGGUGGAAGAGGUGGACAGCUUGUGACUACACAACUCAACCGGCAUGACAAAGUCCCAAGUAUUUAGGCCGAUGCUGAUUGUUCUAGUCUAGAGCAGGAUGGCAAACAGAUGAUAUUAUGCAGAUUUAUGUAUCACAUUCAAUGAUGCUAAAGCACACAUACUGUACAUUGACAACUAUUGAAACUGGAAGUUAAGACAGAAAAUGGCUGUAAAAGAGAGUUACACUCAAUAAUAACCAAUAAAUGGCAAAUUAUGGGUCUAUGGAUGUGCAGUUCAGUGGUGAAAUAAGUUUUGAUGUUACAUUUUGUCAUUAAGCAGAUGCUUUUAUCCAAAGAGACUUACAAAUGAGGACAAUGGAAGCAAUCAAAAUCAACAAAAGAGCAAUGAUAUACAAGUGCUAUAACAAGUCUCAGUUAGUUUUACACAGCACACGUAACGUACACACUUAACACGUACGUUUUUUUUAAUUAUAUAAUAAAUAAAAAGAAAACAGAAUAGAAAAAGAAUAGAGCACACUAGUGUUAGAGGCCUAUAAUAAAUGAAAGAAAAGGAACAGAUAGGGUUACAAAAGACAAAAGGAAAGCAAAAAAGAAUAGAGAAGCAAGUGUUAGUUUUUUUUUUUUUUAAACAAGCAGUUAGUAAAUGAAUGUGAGUGCAAGUCUAAAAGGGGCAUUUUUUUAGAGAAUAGAAUUAGAAUAGAGAGUGCUAUAGAGUUAGAAGCUCAAAUAAAGAUGGACGAGAUGUAUUUUAGUUGUUUCUUGAAGAUGGCUAAGGUCUCAGCUCCUCUGAUUGAGUUGGGCAGGUCACUCCACCAGGAGGGAAUCCGUAAAAGUGAUUUUGUGCCGCUUUGAGAUGAACACUAAAGAGACGUUCACUUGCAGAACUUCUAGAAGCACAUGAUAAUAAUGUUACUGUGUGUAGCUAGACGUGUUAGUGUUGUGUUGUGUGUUUUGUGUUGUGCAGUGAGGUGAUGUAUGUUCUGGGGGGUCUGAUAUUGGUGCGGAUGGAGAAGGAGUGUGUGUGGGUCUACGCCAUCACUGUCACACUGCUGUACGUCACUCUGACCGUAGCAGGUGACGAGACUUGUUCUGGUCAGAUCAGUUUGAUCAAUUAACCUGAACUGCUGAUAAAGGAACAUUAUGAAUGCAAAUCAAACAAUGCUGUAUCAUGCUGUCAACAAGCACAGAAAAAGCACAUCUCUCAUCCCACAGUUUGUGAAAGACGAGCAGAAAUCAUGUUUAUGGAAAUGUCCUUGCAAUGGAAGACUGUGGGCCAGUUUACUCAUAAUAGAGUUGCAUAUGAGUCAGUUGUUCCUGGGAUUCGGUAACAUUUAAACUUGGAAUAUAAUUUUUUUUAAACAACAUAUGAUUCAUAUUCUAAAUUUUCUACAUCAUUAUACACAUAUCUGACCUCCAAAAUAAAGCAAUAAUCCCCAUGAAGCCUUCGUUUACAGUGAAUUUAUAACCGCUAAGGAGCGUUGUUAAGCUGAGUGACUAAAACCCCCUCAGCUGUUAUAAAUUCACUGUAAACUACAGCUUUUGGGGCUUAUUGCUUUUAUAAAACAGUUAUUCCAUAUACGUUGUAAGGUUUCACAGAAUUAAACAGAGCACAUAAAGUGUAAUGACAUUAAUAAAACGGUAUUCUUCCACCAAACAAUGUAGUUCCUCAGAAACAGGUGUGCUUCCAACAAACCGGUUGCUGAGCACAACACAGAAGUAAACAAGGUGUGUGUUUGUAGAGUAAUUUACAACAGCUUCGAAUGUGGC